rnacentral:ncRNA from 1 species
CGCGACCAGGUCAGGCGGGAUACCGUGGUUUAGCUAUCAUAGCGGAGGAAAGAAUUACUAGGUUCCUUGUACGGCGAGCGACGGGAAGCCAGCUUGAAAUCGGGCGGCUUCGUCGUCGAUUGUGUUGGAGAGGUCUCGCGGGGACGGGCCAGUCCUGGAGGGGGCGCGGGAGGGUGAGGCCGUCGUGCCGGACCUGUGCACCGAGGCGUGUUGCGAGUCGGGUUGUUUGGGAAUGCAGCCCAUAGGGCGGUAAUUCGUCAGGUAAUAUGGGUGGACGAUAGAACAGUACGCGAGGGAAGAUGAAGGACUUUGAAGAGGUCAAGGUGCUUGAAUUGUCGGGGGGAGCGAUGGGGGCGGCGAUGGUCCGGUCGGAUGUGGACGGUGUAGUCGGUCGCGAUCGGUCGGGCGUGGACGGUGCGGAUUGGUCGGCGGCAAGCCAGGUGUUGAUAUGCUGUGGAGAUGCGUUGUGCGAUCGUGGUUGGGCGGCGCGUCGGGUGUUCGGACUGCGUGUCUGGACGGCUGCGGGACCUUCGGCCGUCUUGAACGGACAGGGUUGAAUGUGUGCGAGUCAGGGUGAGUAACCGCAGGGCAGGAGUGAUUGGCGGGAUCCCUGUGGGGUGCACGCGACGACUUGAUUUCUGAGAGGGUUCGGUGUGAGAUGCUGUCGGGACCGAAGAUGGUGAACUUGCUGAGCGGGGCGAAGCAGAGGACUUGGUGGAGGCCGCAGCGUAUGGUGCAAUCGUUGUUGAUUGGGUUAGGGGCGAAGAUAUCGACGUUAGUAGUGGUUCCUCGAGUUUCCUCGGAUGUGGAGCCGGGUGCGAGUUCUAUCGGGUAAGGAAUGAUUAGGGUCGGGGGGCACGCCUCGACUUUCUCAACUUUAAUAGGUAGGACGGGCGGUGCUUUGUUGAGCGCGCCGGAAUCGAGAGUCAGUGGGCAUUUUUGGUAGCAGAACUGGCGAUGCGGGAUGACGGAAGCGGGUUCGGUGCAAAUGGCGCUACUGAACCAAGGGUGUUGGUCGAUUAGAGCAGGAGGUGGUAUGGAGUCGAAUCGUAGGAGUGUGUAAAUCACUGCCGAUACUAGCCCGAAUGGAUGGGCUUAGGCGCGACUACCGGCGUCGAGGCAAGUGCGGCCCGAUGAGUGGAGGGGCGGCGGUCGUGCAAACUUGGGGUGAGCCGGGCGGGCGGCGUCGGUGCGGAUUUGGUGGUAGUAGCAAUAUUCAAUGGAAUUUGAAGGCGAAGGGGGAAGGUUCAUGUGACGGCAUUGCCAUGGGUUAGUCGUCUAAGGACGGGGGAGCCGUCAGAUAGCGUGUUUCGCGAGUUCGAAGGGAUGGGUUAAUUCUGACGGGACGUGGCGGCUGACGGCAGUUAGGGUUCCGGGACGUCGGGGGGCUCGGGAAGGUUAUCUUUUUGUUUAAGCUGACCUGGACGAUCAGUCGGAGGUAGGGUCCAGCGGCUGGAAGGCACGCGCACGUCGCGCGGUGUCCGGUGCGCCCCGGCGGCCCUGAAAAUCCGGGAGGAUCCGAGUGCUCCCACGCCGGUGUACUCAUUACCGCAUCAGGUUCUCCAAGGUGAAGCUAUGGUCGAAUGGAACAAUGUAGGCAAGGAGUCGGCAAAUGGAUCCUAACUCGGGAAAAGGAUUGCUCUGAGGGUGGGCAGGGGGGUCCUGUUCUCCGACCGAUCGGGCUGUCGGUGGAUGCGCGAGCUGCUUCGGCGAGAGAGCGGAGGUACGCGUGCCCAGGCCGGGGGACGGACUUGGGAACGGCUCUUCGGGGGCUUCCCGGGGUCGAACACAACUCAGAAAUGGUCGGACAAGGGGAAUCCGAAUGUUUUAUUUAAAAGCAUUGCGAUGGUCCCUGCGGAUGUACGCAAUUGUGUGAUUUUGCCGUGCUCUGAAUGUUCAAGUGAAGAAAUUUCAACCAGCGCGGGUAAACUGGCGGGAGUACUAUGGACUCUCUUAAGGUAGCCAAUGCUCGUCAUCUAUAGUACGCGAUGAAUGGAUUAAGAGAUUCCACUGUCUGUCUACUAUCCAGCGAACCAAGAAGGGACGGUUGGCAGAUUCCCAGGGGGAAAGAAGACCUGUUGAGCUAUGGACUCUAGUCCGACUUUUGUGAAAUGGACUGAGAGGUGGUUGUAUAAGUGGAGAGCCCUCGGGCGAAAGUGAUACACUACUUUAACGUUAUUUUACUUAUUCCCGGAAUCGAGAAGCGGGGCAACGCCCUCUUUUUGGACCAAG